AGCAGGUUGUAACACUCAUCGGAAGAAGAGGACCAAAGCGCACCGUGAGAGCCUUAGAAAACAAGCCAACGUCCUACGAAGCAGAAAGAAGAGAAGAGAGAUAAAAGAAGAUGGAAUGCGAGAGAUCUAUUUGAAGACAGGAAAUUAGUUGGGAGAGGAGCCUCCUAGGAAGCCACGUACGUGUACAGCUGCAGCGGAUAAAAACGACGUCUAGGAUGUAUCACUUCUUCUUUAGUGAAUAAUAGUUCAAAGGUCAAACCAUUUUGCCAUAAUCAGCUCGCGCAGCUCACGGGUACUUUUGUACUGGAGAAGAGAAGGGGAUUGGUGCAUCAUUUCCAACCAAGUCUGUGCUCCCGUGGAUUACUGAUUGAACAUAAGUUUACUAUAAACCCAAUUCUCUCAUUUACAAGACUAAAAUCACAUUUCAUCUUCUCACAAAUAGUUUCAUAUUCAAUCAUAUAAAUGUUGCAACAUUUACAUGUAAAUCUGAUAACUAGGAUGUGUAGACUUUCCAGUAUACAAUUUAAGUUGUCCUGUCAUCAGUAAUAAUGUCCCAGACAACAAAUGAUCUGACAUCAUAUUCUUUCAGUACCAAUGGACACUUUCAACUGGUUGGAUUACAGAAAUAUCGUUCCAUUCCCCAACCUUUUGAUGUUACGGUAUUGCAAAGUCUAUCUCUGUGGUAAAGAAAGGAUUUUCAAAGUCCAUUCUAUAGAGUGGAUAGAGAGAGAUCUGGUAUUUAUGGAGGGGGUCAUAAACCGGUGGGGGAGAAGAGAGAGAAAGGGUGUUUUAUGACCUCACCCAACAGGGCAAAGUCAUGACAAAACUGACGCAAGCAGUAGAAUCAUAUAUUUUUUUAAACUGAUAAAAAUACACCUUAUGGAACAGCAGGAUUUUGAAGCAACACAAGCAUAGGCACAGACACAUGCAUACACACACAUGAUAACAUACACACACGUACACAUGGAUUUUGUGUUGUAGAUAUGUGGUAGUGGAGUAAAGGCCUGAGGGCACACAGAGUGUUGUAGAUAUGUUGUGAAUGAAUGUAUUGUAAUGUUUAAAAAAUUGUAGAACUGCUUUAAUUUAGCUAGACCCCAGGAAGAGUAACUGCUGCAUUGGCAGCUGGUAUAACUUCCAUGAAAUUGUAAUACCAUUUGAUGGGAGUUAAGUCACCUGUACUGUAAAAAAAAACAAGGCAUUUUUUUCUGAAAUGUGUAAAUCAAGUGUAAAUCAAUUUGAUUCUGAAUCCAAUAUGGCUAACAAGAUGACACUAAGACACCUUCACCUGCGUAUAAAUUGCCCUUAUUUAUUUGUAUUGUGUUAUUGUGUCUUUAAAGGUCCAAUGCAGCCGUUUUAUCUCAAUAUCAAAUCAUACGGCAGCCAUAUUGGAUUUGAGGCAAAACCAGGGUGGUCCCAAAGAUAAUCUGUGGUGCCCCCCCUGAUUAAUUAAAAGAUGUCAUGUUGAUGUCUGAGCCCACUUGCUUUCCUUACAAUAGUCACAACAUUAAAAUACAUGUGUAACUAUAUGGAUUAUUGUCAUGCAUGACCAUACAGCACUGAAUGAGAGCAACAUCACUUGUAAAAUGUCUACUAAUCAGUUAC
ensembl:lncRNA